rnacentral:rRNA from 1 species
CACGGAGUUAGCCGAUGCUUUUUCUUCAAGUACCCUCGGUCAGGCUCUCGAGCCUGAUUUUGUCCCUUGACAAAAGAAGUUUACAAUGCUUGGCACCUUCGUCCUUCACGCGGCUUGGCUGGUUCAGCCUUCCGGCCAUUGACCAAUAUUCCUCACUGCUGCCUCCCGUAGGAGUCUGGUCCGUGUCUCAGUACCAGUGUGGGGGACCUUCCUCUCAGAACCCCUACGCAUCGUCGGUUUGGUGGGCCGUUACCCCGCCAACUGCCUAAUGCGCCGCAUGCCCAUCUCUGUCCGGCCGAAACCUUUCCUCCCCGGAGGAUGCCCUCCGGGAAUAUACGCGGUAUUAGCCCUACUUUCGCAGAGUUAUACCCCUGACAGAGGCAGGUUGCAUACGUGUUACUCACCCGUGCGCCACUCGCCGGCAGAUUCACCGAAGUGAAUCCCCGCUGCCGUUCGACUUGCAUGUGUUAAGCCUGCCGCUAGCGUUCAUCCUGAGCCAGGAUCAAACUCU